rnacentral:rRNA from 1 species
CAGUCGCCACGGUAAGACAGAGGUCCCGAGCGUUGUUCGGAUUCAUUGGGCGUAAAGGAUGUGUAGGAGGCCAGGUAAGUCAGGUGUGAAAUCUCAGAGCUUAACUCUGAAACUGCGCUUGAUACUGCUUGGCUAGAGGAUCGGAGGGGGUAACGGAAUUUAUGGUGUAGCAGUGAAAUGCGUUGAGAUCGGAAAGAACACCAACGGCGAGAGCACUCUGCUGGGCCGACACUGACACUGAGAGACGAAAGCUAGGGGAGCAAAUGGGAUUAGAUACCCCCGUAGUCCCUGUCUCUUAUAC